UAAUGAGUAGUUUAAUUAAAAACGACAGGUUGUGGUUCUGUAAAUAGGUUAUUUGCUCUCAUUAG
rnacentral:tRNA from 1 species